GGAUAACAUGCCCUAAGGUGGGGGAUAAUCUCGGGAAACUGAGGAUAAUACCCCAUAGGUCUUCUCUGCUGGAAUGCUUGAAGGCCGAAAACUCCGGUGCCUUAGGAUUGGUCUGCGGCCUAUCAGGUUGUAGUGGGUGUAAUGGACCCACUAGCCCGUGACGGGUAUGGGCCUUGAGAGAGGGAGCCCAGAGAUGGACUCUGAGACAUGAGUCCAGGCCCUACGGGGCGCAGCAGUCGCGAAAGCUUCGCAAUGGGGGCAACCCCGACGAGGGAAUUCCAAGUGCCAGCACUUUGUGUUGGCUGUUCUCCUGUCUAAAAAACAGGAGGAGUAAGGGGCGGGUAAGACGGGUGCCAGCCGCCGCGGUAAUACCCGCGCCCCUAGUGGUGGUCGAUAUUAUUGAGCCUAAAACGUCCGUAGCCGGUCUUUUAAAUCUUUGGGCAAAUCGGGCAGCUUAACUGUCCGACUUCCGAGGAGACUGGAAGACUUGGGACCGGGAGAGGUCAGAGGUACUUCUGGGGUAGGGGUAAAAUCCUGUAAUCCUGGAAGGACCACCGGUGGCGAAGGCGUCUGACUAGAACGGAUCCGACGGUGAGGGACGAAGCCCUGGGGCGCAAACGGGAUUAGAUACCCCGGUAGUCCAGGGUGUAAACGCUGCGGGCUUGGUGUUGGGGGUCCUUCGUGGGCGCCCAGUGCCGGAGAGAAGUUGUUAAGCCUGCUGCUUGGGGAGUAUGUCCGCAAGGAUGAAACU
rnacentral:rRNA from 1 species